rnacentral:rRNA from 1 species
AGGGAACGAAGGCUAGGGUAGCGAACCGGAUUAGAUACCCGGGUAGUCCUAGCUGUAAACAUUGCCCAUUUGAUGUUGCUUUUCCGUUGAGGGAAGGCAGUGUCGGAGCGAAGGUGUUAAAUGGGCCGCUUGGGAAGUAUGGUCGCAAGACUGAAACUUAAAGGAAUUGGCGGGGGAGCACCGCAACGGGAGGAAUGUGCGGUUUAAUUGGAUUCAACGCCGGAAAACUCACCGGGAACGACCUGUGCAUGAGAGUCAACCUGACGAGCUUACUCGAUAGCAGGAGAGGUGGUGCAUGGCCGUCGUCAGCUCGUACCGUAGGGCGUUCACUUAAGUGUGAUAACGAGCGAGACCCACAUCUUUAAUUGCAAAUGUAUAUGAGAAUAUGCAUGCACUUUAGGGAAACCGCCAGCGCUAAGCUGGAGGAAGGAGUGGUCGACGGCAGGUCAGUACGCCCCGAAUUUCCCGGGCUACACGCGCAUUACAAAGAACGGGACAAUACGUUGCAACCUCGAAAGAGGAAGCUAAUCGCGAAACCCGUCCAUAGUUAGGAUUGAGGGCUGUAACUCGCCCUCAUGAAUCUGGAUUCCGUAGUAAUCGCGGGUCACAAC